rnacentral:rRNA from 1 species
GAUGAACGCUGGCGGCGUGCCUAAUACAUGCAAGUCGAGCGAACGGACGAGAAUCUUGCUUCUCUUAUGUUAGCGGCGGACGGGUGAGUAACACGUGGCUAACCUACCUAUAAGACUGGGAUAACUUCGGGAAACCGGAGCUAAUACCGGAUAAUAUUUUGAACUGCAUGGUUCAAAAUUGAAAGACGGUCUUGCUGUCACUUAUAGAUGGAUCCGCGCUGCAUUAGCUAGUUGGUAAGGUAACGGCUUACCAAGGCAACGAUGCAUAGCCGACCUGAGAGGGUGAUCGGCCACACUGGAACUGAGACACGGUCCAGACUCCUACGGGAGGCAGCAGUAGGGAAUCUUCCGAAAUGGGCGAAAGCCUGACGGAGAAACGCCGAGUGAGUGAUGAAGGUCUUCGGAUCGUAAAACUCUGUUAUUAGGGAAGAACAUAUGUGCAAGUAACUGUGCACAUCGUGACGGUACCUAAUCAGAAAGCCACGGCUAACUACGUG